rnacentral:rRNA from 1 species
CGGACGGGUGAGUAAUGUCUGGGAAACUGCCUGAUGGGGGGGGAUAACUACUGGAAACGGUAGCUAAUACCGCAUAACGUCGCAAGACCAAAGAGGGGGACCUUAGGGCCUCUUGCCAUCGGAUGUGCCCAGAUGGGAUUAGCUAGUAGGUGGGGUAACGGCUCACCUAGGCGACGAUCCCUAGCUGGUCUGAGAGGAUGACCAGCCACACUGGAACUGAGACACGGUCCAG